rnacentral:rRNA from 1 species
AUCGAUGAAGAACGCAGCGAAAUGCGAUAAGUAAUGUGAAUUGCAGAAUUCAGUGAAUCAUCGAAUCUUUGAACGCACCUUGCGCCCAUUGGUAUUCCGAUGGGCAUGCCUGUUUGAGUGUCUUGAAAUCAUCAAGCCCGUUCGGUUUCACUGCCGAGCGGGGUUGGACUUGGGGGCUUGCCGCUUCGCCGCGGCUCCCCUUAAAUGCAUCGGUUUCGGGUCUCUGUGGGAGUCACCCCUUGGGCGUUGUAUAACCCUCGCUGUCUGGGAACUCCACGCGACGUCCGCGUCGUUGAAGGGCCUUGAAGAAACCUCGACCUGCUGUAGAGUGGCGGUCAAUGUUAAAUCGAGAUCUGACCUCAAAUCAGGUAGGACUACCCGCUGAACUUAAGCAUAUCAAUAAGCGGAGGAAAAGAAACUAACAAGGAUUCCCCUAGUAACUGCGAGUGAAGCGGGAAAAGCUCAAAUUUGAAAUCUGGCGUCUCCGGCGUCCGAGUUGUAUUCUGGAGAAGCGUUUUCCGUGCUGGACCGUGUACAAGUCCCUUGGAACAGGGCGUCAUAGAGGGUGAGAAUCCCGUCUUUGACACGGACUGCCAGUGCUCUGUGAUGCGCUCUCGAAGAGUCGAGUUGUUUGGGAAUGCAGCUCAAAACGGGUGGUAAAUUCCAUCUAAAGCUAAAUAUUGGCGAGAGACCGAUAGCGAACAAGUACCGUGAGGGAAAGAUGAAAAGCACUUUGGAAAGAGAGUGAAACAGUACGUGAAAUUGUUGAAAGGGAAACGCUUGUAGUCAGUCGCGUCUUCUGGAACUCAGCCUUGCUUCUGCUUGGUGCACUUUCCAGUUUGACGGGUCAGCAUCGGUUUCGGUGGGGCAGACAAAGGCGGAGGGAAGGUGGCCGCUCCGGCGGUGUUAUAGCCCUCCGUUGUGCGUGUCCCCUGGGACCGAGGAAUCCGGUGCUCGCGCCUGGGAUGCUGGCGUAAUGGCUUUAAGCGACCCGUCUUGAAACACGG